AGAUAACGCCUCUGACUCAAUGAAUGCUCCUUCUGAGACGACGACGCGUCUCUUAGCUCGUGAUGACCAAAGGCUAGAAGUUGGAGUAGUGGUUUCUGGACCGGAGGGAUCUUCAGCUUGUCUUGGAGAGGAACAGAAUAACAUACCAAGCUUAGUUUCAGCGGGAUCAUCCUCGGUCAUCUCGAAGAGAAGUCACAGGCUCCUAGCAGUCGAACUCUAAGCAGAUGUUUAGGAAGAGAAAUCCCAUGAGUAUGUUUUUACAAAAAUUUUAAUAUAAAACCCGUCGCAGCAAUCGAACUCGCUAA
rnacentral:misc_RNA from 1 species